AUUGAACGCUGGCGGCAGGCCUAACACAUGCAAGUCGAACGGUAACAGGAAACAGCUUGCUGUUUCGCUGACGAGUGGCGGACGGGUGAGUAAUGUCUGGGAAACUGCCUGAUGGAGGGGGAUAACUACUGGAAACGGUAGCUAAUACCGCAUAACGUCGCAAGACCAAAGAGGGGGACCCUCGGGCCUCUUGCCAUCGGAUGUGCCCAGAUGGGAUUAGCUUGUUGGUGGGGUAACGGCUCACCAAGGCGACGAUCCCUAGCUGGUCUGAGAGGAUGACCAGCCACACUGGAACUGAGACACGGUCCAGACUCCUACGGGAGGCAGCAGUGGGGAAUAUUGCACAAUGGGCGCAAGCCUGAUGCAGCCAUGCCGCGUGUAUGAAGAAGGCCUUCGGGUUGUAAAGUACUUUCAGCGGGGAGGAAGGGAGUAGAGUUAAUACCUUUGCUCAUUGACGUUACCCGCAGAAGAAGCACCGGCUAACUCCGUG
rnacentral:rRNA from 1 species